rnacentral:rRNA from 1 species
UACGGAGGGGGCGAGCGUUAUUCGGAUUUAUUGGGCGUAAAGGGCGCGUAGGCGGCUUUAUGGGUCAAAGGUGAAAUCCCUCGGCUCAACUGAGGAACUGCCUUUGAAACUGUCUGGCUUGAGGCCGGGAGAGGGUAGCGGAAUUCCCAGUGUAGCGGUGAAAUGCGUAGAUACUGGGAGGAACACCGGUGGCGAAGGCGGCUACCUGGACCGGUUCUGACGCUGAUGCGCGAAAGCGUGGGUAGCAAACAGG